rnacentral:rRNA from 1 species
UACGGAGGGUGCGAGCGUUGUCCGGAAUCAUUGGGCGUAAAGGGCGCGUAGGUGGCCCGGUCAGUUUGUGGUGAAAGCGCGGGGCUCAACUCCGCGUCGGCCAUGAAUACUGCUGGGCUGGAGCACUGUAGAGGCAGGCGGAAUUCCGGGUGUAGCGGUGGAAUGCGUAGAGAUCCGGAAGAACACCGGUGGCGAAGGCGGCCUGCUGGGCAGUUGCUGACACUGAGGCGCGACAGCGUGGGGAUCAAACAGG